GAUGAAUGCUGGCGGCGUGCCUAACACAUGCAAGCCGAGCGGCAGCGCGGGUAGUUUACUACCUGGCGGCGAGCGGCGGACGGCUGAGUAACGCGUGGGAACGUACCCCAAAGUGAGGAAUAACUGCCCGAAAGGGUGGCUAAUGCCGCAUAUGCUCUUCGGAGUAAAGCUUUAUGCGCUUUGGGAGCGGCCCGCGUCGGAUUAGGUUGUUGGUGAGGUAAUGGCUCACCAAGCCGACGAUCCGUAGCUGGUCUUAGAGGAUGAUCAGCCAGACUGGAACUGAGACACGGUCCAGACUCCUACGGGAGGCAGCAGUGAGGAAUCUUCCACAAUGGGCGAAAGCCUGAUGGAGCAACGCCGCGUGCAGGAUGAAGGCCUUCGGGUUGUAAACUGCUUUUAUAAGUGAAGAAUAUGACGGUAACUUAUGAAUAAGCACCGGCUAACUACGUGCCAGCCGCCGCCGUA
rnacentral:rRNA from 1 species